CGAACGCUGGCGGCAUGCCUAACACAUGCAAGUCGAACGAGACCGCUGACUUCGGUUGGCGCGUCUAGUGGCGCACGGGUGCGUAACGCGUGGGAAUCUGCCCUUGGGUACGGAAUAACAGCGAGAAAUUGCUGCUAAUACCGUAUAAUGACUUCGGUCCAAAGAUUUAUCGCCCAGGGAUGAGCCCGCGUAGGAUUAGCUUGUUGGUGAGGUAAAAGCUCACCAAGGCGACGAUCCUUAGCUGGUCUGAGAGGAUGAUCAGCCACACUGGGACUGAGACACGGCCCAGACUCCUACGGGAGGCAGCAGUGGGGAAUAUUGGACAAUGGGCGAAAGCCUGAUCCAGCAAUGCCGCGUGAGUGAUGAAGGCCUUAGGGUUGUAAAGCUCUUAUGCCCGGGAUGAUAAUGACAGUACCGGGAGAAUAAGCUCCGGCUAACUCUGUGCCAGCAGCCGCGGUAAUACGGAGGGAGCUAGCGUUGUUCGGAAUUACUGGGCGUAAAGCGCGCGUAGGCGGCUUUGUAAGUUAGAGGUGAAAGCCCGGGGCUCAACCCCGGAACUGCCUUUAAGACUGCAUCGCUUGAAUCCAGGAGAGGUGAGUGGAAUUCCGAAUGUAGAGGUGAAAUUCGUAGAUAUUCGGAAGAACACCAGUGGCGAAGGCGGCUCACUGGACUGGUAUUGACGCUGAGGUGCGAAAGCGU
rnacentral:rRNA from 1 species